GGGUCAAGCACUUCAGGAAAAGACUCUAUGGGACAGGAAAAAAAUAAUUCAUGUUGCCCUGAAAAACUAGAAAAUGCCAAAGAAAUAUCACUUCUGUGUUGCUGUCUUUGGUAGAGGACCUGAGAAUGCAAGAAAUUAAUGCCAGGGACCGUAACAUUGCUGAGGACCUCCUCAGAGCUGGAGGUGGGAUUCAGAACGCUCAGCCUGCUUGGCUCACUCUGGUUUUGCACAGUGGAAAAGAAGAGACAGUUCUGCAUAUUUCUCAGCACUGAUAUGAGUUACAGGAAGAUGUUCGCUUGUGUUUGGCGUGAGGCUCACAGCUUCAAAAACCUCCCAGCAGCCACACGAGAAGAGUUCAUCCAGGCAAGGUGUGUGUGCAGUGAGACCCUAUAUUACCCUAUGGAUCUCAACAUGGCUAUGAAGGUGAAAGAAAAUGGAUCCCCUGAAGAAACAUAGAGCAUAGCCAACAAGAGCCAAGAUAUAAGACAUUUCUUUCGCUCACAGACCCACAAAGAGCCACAGACCCCAAUUUGUUCUGCAUGAUUUUAUCACUGCUGUUGCUCUUACCACCACCACAGUCACCAAUAAGAGAAGAAUGCCUGGGAUUAUUUAGCCCGUCUCCUGAUUUGUACCAGGGACAUGGGAAAUUAAAAAAUCUGGCUGACUGCAGUGGCACAAAAUAAGGCUCAUGUUCAAGAUGUGCUGAAAACAGGCUAUCAUGUUUGCUGACAACAAAAGCGAGAAGAAUGUAGCGUGAGCCUUUCCUGAUAAAGAGGUAUUUCCAUUUUAGGGUCAUAGGAAGGCUCUUCAGGAGAUCUCUAGUCCAACCUGCUGCUCAAAGCAAGGUCAGCCAUGGGGUCAGAACCAGGUUACUGAGAGCAUUAUGCAGUCUGGUCUUGAAACUCUGCAAUGAUGGAGGUUGUUCAAUUUCUCUGAGCAACCUGCUCCACUGCUCGACUCCCCUCACGCUGAAAGUUUCUCCUUACAGCCAAUAUGAAUUUGGGUUGCUUCAACUCAUGCCUGUUGUCUCUUGCCCUCCCACCAUUCACCACUGUGAAGAGCCUGCCUCCAUCUUCUUGACAACCUCCUUGUCUGUACUGGAUGGGUGCUACUAGGCGCCCCGAAGCCUUCUCUUCUGCAGGCUCAACAAGCUCGUUCCCUCAGCCUCUCAGUGGCCCUCUGUUGGACUUGCUCCGGUUUAUUGGAAUCUUUCUUGUUUUGGGGGGGGGGGGGGGGGUAAAACUGCCCUAAAACACAGUACUGUGGUCUAAUAAGUGCUGAGCGGGGGUAAUCACUCCCUCUGAUCUACUGGCUAUAUUGCUGUUAAUACAUCCCAGCAUGCUGCAGACCUUUGCUGCCAGGGCAUGCGCCUGCCUCAUGCCCAGCUUGUGUCUACCAGGACCGCCAGGGCCUUUUCUGCAGAGCUGCCCCCCAGGCAGGCAGUCCCCGCCAGUAUUGUUGGAAGGGUUCUUCUUUCCCAGCUACAGUGCUGCACAUUUGUUCCUGAAAAAAUGAAUUUCAUAAGGUUCCUGUUGGCCCAUUCCUCCAGCCUAAGUACUUCUGAACAGCAGCUCUACACAGUUUUUCCAGUGAUAAUGAUCCAGAAUGUGGCUGAUUUCAACAGCAAUCCUGCAAGACAAAGCCUAUGUCUUGUUUCAAGGGAGGCUUUGCUUGAGUAAUGACUAUUAGUAUUUAGUUUAGGCUAUCAUGGCAUGUUAAGGGCUGGAAUUCAGAUUGUUCAAAGGCUCGUACAAAUUCAAGACCAGUAGGAUGAUACUUACAGAGAGCUGAUUCCCUACAUAUAGAAGCCCAUGUGUUUUUUGGCAGUUCUGUUAAGCUUCACAGGAAGCCACUGAGGGGAAUAAAAUAGGAAUAUGCAGACA
rnacentral:lncRNA from 1 species